GAUGAACGCUAGCGGCAGGCUUAACACAUGCAAGUCGAGGGGCAGCGCGGGAUAGCAAUAUCCUGGCGGCGACCGGCGGAAGGGUGCGUAACGCGUGAGCGACAUGCCCGUUGCCCGGGGACAACCGGUGGAAACGCCGACUAAUCCCCGAUGGGAUAUUGUGCCGCAUGGCACGAUAUUGAAAGUUACGGCGGCGACGGAUUGGCGCGCGUCCGGUUAGCUUGUUGGCGGGGUAACGGCCCACCAAGGCUGCGAUCGGUAGGGGUUCUGAGAGGAAGGCCCCCCACAAUGGGACUGAGACACGGCCCAUACUCCUACGGGAGGCAGCAGUGAGGAAGAUUGGUCAAGGGGCGGAAGCCUGAACCAGCCAUGCCGCGUGCGGGAAGGAGGCCCUAUGGGCUGUGAACCGCUUUUGCCUGGGGGCAAUAAGGGCGUCGCGCACGUCCGAUGAGAGUACCAGGCGAAUAAGCAUCGGCUAACUCCGUG
rnacentral:rRNA from 1 species